CUCGCUCCUGGAUUCAGCGGCGGACGGGUGAGUAAUGCCUAGGAAUCUGCCUGGUAGUGGGGGAUAACGUCCGGAAACGGGCGCUAAUACCGCAUACGUCCUGAGGGAGAAAGUGGGGGAUCUUCGGACCUCACGCUAUCAGAUGAGCCUAGGUCGGAUUAGCUAGUUGGUGGGGUAAAGGCCUACCAAGGCGACGAUCCGUAACUGGUCUGAGAGGAUGAUCAGUCACACUGGAACUGAGACACGGUCCAGACUCCUACGGGAGGCGGCAGUGGGGAAUAUUGGACAAUGGGCGAAAGCCUGAUCCAGCCAUGCCGCGUGUGUGAAGAAGGUCUUCGGAUUGUAAAGCACUUUAAGUUGGGAGGAAGGGCAGUAAGUUAAUACCUUGCUGUUUUGACGUUACCAACAGAAUAAGCACCGGCUAACUUCGUGCCAGCAGCCGCGGUAAUACGAAGGGUGCAAGCGUUAAUCGGAAUUACUGGGCGUAAAGCGCGCGUAGGUGGUUCAGCAAGUUGGAUGUGAAAUCCCCGGGCUCAACCUGGGAACUGCAUCCAAAACUACUGAGCUAGAGUACGGUAGAGGGUGGUGGAAUUUCCUGUGUAGCGGUGAAAUGCGUAGAUAUAGGAAGGAACACCAGUGGCGAAGGCGACCACCUGGACUGAUACUGACACUGAGGUGCGAAAGCGUGGGGAGCAAACAGGAUUAGAUANCCUGGUAGUCCACGCCGUAAACGAUGUCGACUAGCCGUUGG
rnacentral:rRNA from 1 species